rnacentral:rRNA from 1 species
UACGGAGGGGGCUAGCGUUGUUCGGAAUUACUGGGCGUAAAGCGCACGUAGGCGGUCCAGCAAGCGGGGAGUGAAAGCCCUCGGCUUAACCGAGGAAGUGCUUUCCGAACUACUGGACUUGAGUACUGAAGAGGGUCGCGGAAUUCCCGGUGUAGAGGUGAAAUUCGUAGAUAUCGGGAGGAACACCAGUGGCGAAGGCGGCGACCUGGGCAGAUACUGACGCUGAGGUGCGAAAGCGUGGGGAGCAAACAGG